rnacentral:rRNA from 1 species
AAUAAGCGGAGGAAAAGAAACCAACCGGGAUUGCCUCAGUAACGGCGAGUGAAGCGGCAACAGCUCAAAUUUGAAAGCCCGCGGGCGUUGUAAUUUGCAGGCGGAUGUUUUGGGGCGGGCGCUGUCUACGUUCCUUGGAACAGGACGCCGCAGAGGGUGAGAGCCCCGUGCGAUGGCGCCUUUAACCGCGUAAAACUCCGCCGACGAGUCGAGUUGUUUGGGAAUGCAGCUCCAAGUGGGUGGUAAAUUCCAUCUAAAGCUAAAUACUGGCGAGAGACCGAUAGCGAACAAGUACAGUGAUGGAAAGAUGAAAAGCACUUUGAAAAGAGAGUGAAACAGCACGUGAAAUUGUUGAAAGGGAAGGGUAUGCGAUUAGCGGCCAGCAGGAGGUGCGUUCUCGCGAAAAGGCCGUGCACCGUCUUCGGACACCGUGCGCGGAGAUGGCGAGGGGGCGCCUGAGGUCUGCGACUCGA